rnacentral:rRNA from 1 species
UACGAAGGGUGCAAGCGUUAUUCGGAUUUAUUGGGUGUAAAGGGUGCGUAGACGGCAUAUUAAGUCCGCUGUUAAAUUUCCCGGCCUAACUGGGAGCCAGCGGUGGAUACUGAUGUGCUAGAGGAUGGAAGAGAGAAGUGGAAUUCCCGGAGUAGCGGUAAAAUGCGUAGAUCUCGGGAGGAACACCAAUGGCGAAGGCAGCUUCUUGGUCCAUAUCUGACGUUGAGGCACGAAAGCGUGGGGAGCGAACGGG